UGGGGAAUAUUGCACAAUGGGCGGAAGCCUGAUGCAGCGACGCCGCGUGGGGGAUGAAGGCCUUCGGGUUGUAAACUCCUUUCGACAGGGACGAAGCNUUAGUGACGGUACCUGUAUAAGAAGCACCGGCUAACUACGUGCCAGCAGCCGCGGUAAUACGUAGGGUGCGAGCGUUGUCCGGAAUUACUGGGCGUAAAGAGCUCGUAGGUGGUUUGUCGCGUCGUCUGUGAAAUUCCGGGGCUUAACUCCGGGCGUGCAGGCGAUACGGGCUGACUUGAGUGCUGUAGGGGAGACUGGAAUUCCUGGUGUAGCGGUGAAAUGCGCAGAUAUCAGGAGGAACACCGAUGGCGAAGGCAGGUCUCUGGGCAGUAACUGACGCUGAGGAGCGAAAGCAUGGGUAGCGAACAGGAUUAGAUACCCUGGUAGUCCAUGCCGUAAACGGUGGGCGCUAGGUGUAGGGGGCUUCCACGUCUUCUGUGCCGUAGCUAACGCAUUAAGCGCCCCGCCUGGGGAGUACGGCCGCAAGGCUA
rnacentral:rRNA from 1 species